rnacentral:rRNA from 1 species
AGAUUGAACGCUGGCGGCAUGCCUAACACAUGCAAGUCGAGCGGCAGCGCGGGGGCAACCCUGGCGGCGAGCGGCGGACGGGUGAGUAAGGCAUCGGAAUCUGCCCUGAUGUGGGGGAGUAACGUAGGGAAACUUACGCUAAUACCGCAUACGACCGAGAGGUGAAAGCGGGGGAGUCGUAAGACCUCGCGCUGGUGGAUGAGCCUACGUCCGAUUAGUUAGUUGGUGGGGUAAAGGGACCUACCAAGGCUACGAUCGGUAGGCUGGUCUGAGAGGACGACCAGCCACACUGGGACGUGAGACACGGCCCACGACUCCUACGGGAGGCAGC